AUUCAAACAUUUCUUUUACAAGCUUCGUUGGAUCAAGUGUGAGGACCUGCUACAGAGACUUUAAACUGUCUGUAAUGGUUGCUUUCAUACGCAAAUUCUCUACAGCAAGUUCCCUAUAUUAUAUCCCUAGAGAAUUUAUUCAACAAUUAAAAACAGAUAAAGCUCUCGUUUCCUUCUCUCAACUUCAACUUGAAAAGAAAAUCUUGGAAAACCAAUUAAUAUCCGCACUUGAUGGUUGUCAUAAUCUCCUACAAAUUAAACAAGUACAUGCUCAAAUUCUCCGAAAAGGCCUCGACCAAUGUUGCUACGUACUCACUAAACUAAUCCGCAUGCUCAAUAAAAUUAAUAUUCCCAUGGAUUCUUAUCCUCGUCUCAUUUUUGAGCAGGUGAAAUAUAGAAAUCCCUUUCUUUGGACUUCUCUUAUUCGUGGGUAUUCUUUACAGGGAUGCUUGAAGGAGUCAAUUUUGUUGUAUGGUUCUAUGAGGAGAGAAGGUAUCGACCCGGUUUCUUUUACAUUUUCUGCACUUUUUAAGGCCUGUAGUGAGACUCUUGAUGUAAGUUUGGGUAGGCAGUUGCAUGCUCAGACGAUUUUGGUUGGUGGUUUUGUGUCUGAUCUAUAUGUUGGCAAUACCUUAAUUGAUAUGUAUGUAAAAUGCGGAUUUUUGGAUUGUGGGUGUAAGGUGUUUGAUGAAAUGCCUGAGAAAGAUGUGAUUUCGUGGACUGAGUUGAUUGUUGCACAUAUGAAGACUGGGGAUAUGAAAUCUGCCAGUGUAUUGUUUGAUAGUUUGCCUUUAAAGGAUAUGGUGGCCUGGACUGCCAUGGUUACCGGUUACACACAGAAUGCUAAGCCCAGAGAAGCAAUAGAAUAUUUUGAGAGAAUGCAAAAUUCAGGUGUUGAAACAGAUGAAGUUACUUUGGUUGGUGUUAUUUCAGCUUGUGCUCAACUGGGUGCAGUUAAGUUUGCUGAUUGGGUUUGUGAUAUAGCUAAGAGAUCUGGAUUUGGGCAUAGAAAUAAUGUUGUUGUGGGAUCAGCAUUGAUUGAUAUGUACUCGAAAUGUGGGAGUUUAGAGGAUGCGUAUAGGAUUUUUGAGGAGAUGAAGGAGAGGAAUGUCUAUACUUAUAGUUCAAUGAUAGUUGGGUUAGCAAUGCAUGGCCGUGCUCAUGCAGCACUGCAGUUAUUUCAUGAGAUGUUACAAAUGGAGACAAAGCCUAAUAGAGUAACAUUUGUAGGAGUGCUUACAGCCUGUAGCCACAUGGGGUUGGUAGAACAAGGCCGGCAGCUAUUUGCUAGUAUGGAGAAAUGUUAUGGUGUUGUUCCAUCUGCAGAUCACUAUGCUUGCAUGGUUGAUCUUUUGGGUCGAGCAGGGCACCUGAAGGAAGCAUUUGAGCUGGCCCAAGCAAUGCCAGUGGAGCCCCAUGGAGGGGUGUGGGGAGCUCUUCUUGGAGCAUGUAAGAUUCAUGGGAAUCCGGACAUUGCUGGGGUGGCUGCGUGCCAUCUAUUUGAGAUCGAACCUGAUGCUAUUGGAAAUUACAUCUUACUCUCUAAUAUAUAUGCAUCAGCAAGAAGGUGGGAUGAUGUUUCAAGGGUAAGGAAGCUGAUGAAAGAAAAGGGUCUUAAAAAGAAUCCUGGAUUUAGUUGGGUGGAAGGAAACAAAGGAGAUAUUCAUGAGUUCCUUUCUGGUGACGUAACACAUUCGAAUUUUAGUGAGAUUAAACAGGUGUUGGAGGACAUUUUGAACAGAUUAACUGCUCAUGGAUACCAGCCAAAACUCAGUUCUGUGCCUUAUGAUGUGGCUGAUGAGGAGAAGAAGCGUAUAUUAGCUACUCACUGUGAGAAGUUGGCACUGGCAUUUGGAGUUCUCACAACAAGUGCUGGCUGCAUCAUAAGAAUUAUGAAGAACUUGAGAAUAUGUGAAGAUUGCCACAUGUUUAUGUGUGGUACAUCUCAAGUCACAGGGAGGGAGAUUAUUGUGAGAGAUAACAUGAGAUUCCACCACUUCCAAGAUGGUAAAUGUUCAUGUGGUGAUUUCUGGUGACUAAAGGUGGCAACUCUUAUGCUCAUUUUUUAUCAGCUGCAUAUGUUUUUAACUUUUAAGACUCUUUGAAAAGGGUAUAGCACAGAAUCUCAGUUGCUCAAUAGAGAUACUGUAAGACUAGAACCUUCUUUUUGCUUUAUUAUUCUUUUCAAGGUUGUAAUUGGAAGCAUUGGAGGCUCUUCACCUGUACUUAAGAUGAUAUAUUCACCAUCAGAAGGCUAUGUGAAAAAUAUCCGCAUGUUUAUUAUCUUGCUUAUUCACUUAGCUCUUCACCUGUACUUAGAUGAUAUAUUCACCAUCGGAUGGCUAUGUGAAAAAUAUCCACAUCUUUAUAUCUUGCUUAUUCAAAGCCAAAUUAAACUGUCCUCAUUAGCUCAAUUUCUGAUGUGGAAUUUUCAUCAUUUGUUGCUGGAUAAUGCUUAACCUGUUUAAGGGUGUCAAUAAACUCUUUAAGAUUUAAUGAAUUCUUUUUUUUGUUAUUGUUUGGGUAGAAUAAUUCACAUAAAUGCUCGGUAUCCUUGAUUGAAAGUGGAUAUAGUCUGUUGUUUCACUGACUUAGUUUGCUGAUGCUGUGUGAAAUGUUCUACAUUAAUUGUUAAUGUCUAUUUUCUGUGUAUGCUUAUCUUACAUGUUUUUUGGACUUGGAUUUUUCUUCUAUGGCUUUUCUCAUAUUUGUUGGGGCUGCUUCAUUUCUUUAGAUCUUUAUAUCUUUUGUACAUAAUUUUAUUAGAAACUACAUGAAUUUUUGAACUGCGAACUCCCUAAUGAAUUUGUUUUAAUAAUUUAAAUCCUCAACUCUUUUAGAAAUUGGUUGUUGCCCUGUCAUAUGCUAGCCUAAUGAUACAUUUCACUUGGAUGAUAGGGUAAUAUGUUCUCUUCUUCUUUUUUUUUUUUUUUUUUAAAUUUCAGAUUCAUUUGAAAGUAUACAUAUGUAUGGUCUGUGUAUAUGGUUCAUUGACAAUUUCCCAUUAGAACUUCUCUUAACUAUGCAUCAAUCAACUCCGGCAGGCAGUGAAACUAUAGAGGCAGUUGAAUGCAGCUUUGACAUGGAACGAUUAACCAAAAACAGGGGCAAGGCCAUUUUAUGAAUUGAAAAAAGGACGGAUCCGAUAAUACAGGGUGGGUGAUACGUCGGGUUUUGAAGGCUAUGACCUUUUUGCAUCAAUCAUUUCUGUGUCGCGGGAUUAGACAUUAGUCCUCUCUGAUAUCUCCUAAUUAGUGAACAUGUGAUAUAUUUCGUCUAGCAUCUAAUGAAGACAUCAUAUGGAUGAACUGAACCCAUCACUCAUCCUUAAAUUAUUACUCAUUUAUGUUGCA